rnacentral:lncRNA from 1 species
GCUGAGUUAAAUGUUGAAAUUGUUUAUAGACAAUUAAAAAAAGUCUUAGUGAGUUGAUGACUAAAUAAAAUCCAUUUGGUGAAAAAUGACAUAACUAAGUAAACGUACUGACAAAAAAAGUCUAGCCGUAAAAAAAACUAACUCUUCUCUCUCCCUUCGACAAAACCAAACCCUAAUUGCAGCGUUUACCCCCGGCGGCCGGUGUCCUCUCCCGGCGUCGGAGGCUCCUCUCAAUCCUUUCCGUCUCGUUUUCUCUUUGCUCUUUCGGUGGUGGCCCCUAUUCCCGACGAUAUGCUUGCUGACUCUGGUUUCAAUGGAGGUUCUUGGCUUUCCUCUGUCCGCGGCGGAGAUGAAGACGAGAAGACUGAAGGUGGAUCUGGAGCAGUGGCGAGUCGUGUGAAGGGGGAAACCUAUGGAAGGGUCGGCUUUUAGGGUUUUGAGGAUGGAGCGUGACGAGCCGUUUUCCCCUUUUGGUCUCGUUGGCUCUAUUCUUCGGGAUGGAGGCGCGUGGUGUCGUUUCUCGACUCUCAGCUUGCAGAUCUGAAAGCUGUGGCAGGAAGGAUGGCCUGAUUCUCAGAUCCGUGAGGAGAGGGGCGCGUGCAGAGGCGUCAGGAGCUUACUCAGCGUGUGUGCAGCUCAACGCCUUUUCUCGCCAUGUGAACUUUGGGAGUAACAGUCCGGAGGCGUACCGGAACUCGUAAGGCGGUCGUGUGGUCGCCGGACCGACUCUUGUGCUGCGUGUAGCUGAUCUUCCGAUAACCGUUAAGGAUCGUCUAUGGUCCUCUUGGAGAUUAGAAGAGAGGCGCUUCACAUUAGAGAAACGAGGCUUCGACAUCGACGUGACGGCUCCCUGUAGAGUAAGCUGCUCCUCUGGUUCUCGGAGGCGGAGUGUGGUGAGACUCAGAGCUCCUCCACCUGGUCAGUGGGAGAGUAAUAAGGCUUAGAAUACACACUUAGGAGCAAUGCAUUCGCAGUACCGUUUUGAAUGUCAGAUCCGGUAGCCUUGCUCCUUCUACUUUGCAGGGACCCAGCUUGACCGUAGAUGGUGCCAAAGUCUCAACCUGACCUUCAAUGAUGCAAAGCUUUGCUCCUUCUCUACCGGUAGAGCCUAAGUGGAAUACGCACCCGAAGGGUGUUGGAAGCAGCCGGUCUUGAUAAUCACUCAAAUCUUUUUGGUGCUGGUUGCUUCGGUUUAGUAAUUGAAAUUCCCAUUUUAGGAAUAUCGUCGGUUAAGGACUAGCUUUGUUAUCUGGUUUUUAGUGGUAGAAUUAGGUGGUUUAAGAGACGGUUCAUUCCGAGUCGUGGAAUGAAUUCGGCUCGUCGUGGUGAAAAAUGCAUCGACGUUUUGAUUCGGGUAGCGUAGGAUCCUUCUAAGUGUUCCUGGGUGGUACUAGAUCCGUCGAUGUAUGUGGGGUUUAAAAUCUUUCGAGGUUGAAAAUCUUGUAAUCACUUAUUUGGAUAAUGAAAGUUGUUGUUGAGCCAAAAAAAAAAAAAAAAAGUAAACGUACUGACUAAACUACUUAAAUGACUAAGCUAAGCAACUUAGGUUCCGAUUCGGAUUUAAAUUUGUUGGCUUUGAAAGUUUUAACUUAAUUCUAAAAUCUUUAAAGUUUGUUUUUCACCAAUCACACUUUAAGUUUUCUGAAGUCCUAAAACUUUCCUAAAAAAUUUCAAAGCCAAAAUAACUAACUUUACUCUUAAUAUGAUUUGUUUUUUCUUUCAAAGCCACAGAUUUAGGCUCUUAACAAUUUCCAAAGCCAUUUUAAUUUUUUAAAAGCCAAAAGUUUUAAUAGUCAACCUAAAAUUAAAGCUCAACAAUAAAAGUUUUGAAAGUAAAAAACACUCGGAUCUUUAGAGCAUGACCAAUGGGUAGUAUCUUGGAAAGAAGUAUCUGAUUGUUUUAAUAUGAUUAGUUGUAACAUAAUUGAAUUAUUAAUUAAACUUAAAUCAUAAAGAUGAAACAUAUCAAUUAUAAAGCUACACAUGUAAAGAAGUAUCUCCUAUUCUUUUGUUGAAGUUUGCCUGCACUAUCUUUUCAUCCUUCUCUCUCCACUCUUUUUAGCUUUUUCAAUGUAAUUGAUAGUUAGAAACUCUCUUUGAUACCACCAAUAAGGUUGUCCUUAGUGACACUUAUUGCCUUUGGUGACAAAUGGCCAAACUAAAUUACACUUGGUGAUUAAUUAAGAUGACUUAGUAACAAAUGACUAAAACUUAGUAUAAUGACAAAUGUCCAAAUUACUUUAUGAUUAAUCUCUUGUAUAAAUAGAUAUCUAACCUCUCAAUUAAACUAACUCAUUUAUUGAUAACAAUCUUAAAGAUUAACUUUCACAUACAAAGUUCCAGCAACACUUUAAAAUUUUCAAAGUAAGUCUCAAGAGUAGUGUGGUUGUUAAGUUUGCAAAUUCUGUUUUGAAUGAUGCAAAACAGUAUGUCAGUCUAGGUUUUAUCUUGGAACUCAAUAAUCAUAUGCAUAAACAUCUCACUUAUGAACGAUAACAAAGUGAUUAUAUCACGAUUCAAUAUAUUCGUUUAUUUUUACGUCGAUUUUCAAACAUUUUACCAAUUUAUAUUAUUGCAACCAUCAUAUUUUGCUUUGUAAUUUUUAAUAUGGAUUCUCGUGUCCUAACAUAUUUGUAAUUAAUAAUAUUUUUUGUUAUCAUCAGUCACAAUUUUUUGUCAUUAGUAAAGUUUUUUUUGUCAUUACUCAUGUUUUUUAUCACUGGUAACGUUUUUUUAUCAUUACUCACGUUUUUUUGUCAUCUGUAACGUUUUCUAUCAUUGGUAAUGUUUUUUUAUCAUUACUUACCUCCUUUUGUCAUUAGUAACAUUUUUUUAUCAUUAGUAACAUUUUUUAUCACUACUCACAAUUUUUUUUGUAUAACAUUUGACUUUGGUUGUGUUGAGUAGACACAGACCUCUCUUCCCAAACUCUCCUUUGAAAAUAAUGUCCAACACCGGUGUAGUUUUCCCGACGAUAGACUUGGGAGAGGUUUCCGAUGAGAUCUUGAAUCAGAAACUCCGUGAAGCCGGCGAGAGAUUGGGAUGCUUCAGAGUGAUUAACCAUGGAGUUUCUUUGUCUCUCAUGUCUGAGAUGAAGAAGACCGUUAUGGAUCUCUUUGAACGUCCCUACGAGGUGAAAGUACGUAACACUGAUGUGCUACCAGGGAGUGGUUACAGAUUUCGUCCAAGCGAAACCAAUCCUAAUUAUGAAGCAUUAGGUCUCCUCGACCUGGCUUCUCCUCAAGCUCUCAAUACUUUCUGUGACCAGCUCGAUGCUUCUGCUGAACAAAGGUUUUUGUCUUUUUUUCUUGUUUGGUCUCAAAAUGGUAUGGAACAUUGAUUUAUGUCUUGAUAAUAUUCAGGGAGAUUAUGCUGAAGUAUGCAGAAGCUAUUCAUGGGCUUGCAAAAGAUUUAUCAAGGAGACUAGCAGAGAGUUACGGGUUGGCUGAUACUACCAACUUCUUCAAAUCUUGGCCAAUCCAGUUUAGUAUCAACAAGUAUCAUUUCAAACCCGAAACAGUCGGGAAAGUUGGUGUGCAGGCACACACAGAUUUUGGGUUCUUGACGAUACUUCAAGAUGAUGAAAACGUUGGUGGAUUUGAAGCCAUGGACCCUUCUUCAGGAACGUUCUUUCCCUUAAGCCCGUUGACAAACUCGCUUGCUAUCAACCUUGGGGACAUGGCGACAAUAUGGAGCAAUGGAAGGUUGGGCAGCGUGAAGCAUAGGGUGCGAUGCGAAGCUAAAACCAGGUUUUCUAUCGUCUCCUUCCUGUUGGGACCAGUGGAUACAGAUUUGGAAGCUCCAAGUGAGUUUGUGGAUGCUGAACAUCCGCGGUUAUACAAGCCUAUAAGUAAUAAAGGGAUACGAAGUCUCAGAGUGACAACGAACUUGAUUGAUGGAGAAGCUCUCAAACAUAUAUCCUAUGAAUGAAUGAACAUGAUGAUGUAAUGACAUAAAAAGACUAUUGUACUUUUUAUUUGGUGUUCUUAAGAUAGAGAAGUAAAGAUGUAACUCUGUCUUAUGGUAUGUGAAAAUUAUGGAUUUUCGCAAUAUAUAUAAAUAAAAGACUUUUGUACUUAGUUUAUGCAAACAUUCUCACUGGUUCUAAUUUUAAUAGAAGCUAAAAUCAUGAGGAUCUUGAACUAGUUUGAUUCCACAAAUUCUAUACUCACAGUGUCUUACAAAGGGACGAUGUUUCCUGUAUUAGUUCCAGUCUUACCUUUGCAGCCAUAAACAGGAGGGACAUGGAAUCACAGCUCCAUUCCAAGCCCUGCUGCACAGUAUAUGGAGGGAGAGAAAUGCAAGAAGACAUGAGGAGCAACCAAGAGAUGAGAAGUUCUUGGUUACUUGGGUGGAUAAAACGAUUAGGCUGAAGUUGCUGUCAGUCAAGGGAAUGGGUAAACAACACUUUGAAGAGGGAUUGGCUGCUUGGUUUGGAGCGAGAAUACUUGGAAGUUCUUGAGAGAAGAUUAGGAUAAUUUUCAUUUUAUGAGUAUGUAAUUAAACAAAAAAAUGAAGCACUUGAUGUAAAACAGUUUUGAUUGAAUAAAUUUUACAUUCAUUCAAAAAAAAAGAAAUAAAUUGGUUAGUUUCCUUGAAUUUUCAUAUCAGUUUUCACUUUUUCUUAACUAAAUUGUUAUGAAGUGAAAAUGUAAUAAGAUAUAGAUAACAUUUCAAGACUUUUGAACUAUAUAUAGUCUAGCAGUUACAUCUUAUGCAUCAUACUAGUUCUAUAUAACAUUAUACUGUUUCUUUAUCAUCCCUUCUACCAAUCAAAUUCUAGUGCAUGAAUGUUGGUAUACAUAUUUAACAGAAAUGAAAUAUUAUUAAUUUACGAUUUUUGCAUAUAUUUAGUGUAUGAAUGUUGGUGUAUUGAAUUUGUUUAAGUUGAUGACAAAAAAAAAAGAGUGUUGGUGUAUAUCUAACUGAAAUGGAAUAUAAUUAGAUUUGUGAUUUAUUCAUAUAUUUAGUGCAUGAAUGUUGGUGUAUAUCUAACUAAAAUGGAAUAUCACUAAAUUUGUGAUUUUUGCAUAGAUUUAGUGUAUAAAUGUUGGCGUAUAUCUAACCGAAAUAAAUAUUAUUAAAUUUGUAAAUUUUUCAUAUAUUUAGUGCUUAGUGUAUCCAUUACAGUUGACCAAAAAAGAGUAACGUUAUUUUAUCAUUAGACACGUUUUAUCAUUAAUCAAUUUUAGGAUGAGAAGUUUCGUACGUUUUCUUCUGAUUCUUGAACUUCUUUAUAUAACAUUAUAAUCUGGUUAUGUUGAGUAGACAAAGGCCUCUCUUCUCAAACUCAACAUUGAAGAUAAUGUCGGCCACGAGUGUAUUUUUUCCGACAAUAGACUUGGGACAGGUUUCUGAUGAGAUGUUGAAUCAGAAACUCCGUGAAGCCAGCGAGAGAUGGGGAUGCUACAGGGUGAUUAACCAUGGAGUUUCUUUGUCUCUCAUGUCUGACAUGAAGAAGACCAUUAUGGAUCUCUUUGAGCGUCCAUACGAGGUGAAAGUGCGUAACACUGAUGUGCAACAAUGGAGUGGUUACACGGCUCAAAGCGAAAUCAAUCCUUAUAAUGAAGCAUUGGGUCUCUAUGACACGGCUUCUCCUCAAGCUGUCAACACUUUUUGUGAUCAACUCGAGGCUUCUCAGGAACAAAGGUUAAUUUCUCUUUUCUUGUUAUUUUGGUUGGCCUCAAAAGGGUACGGAACAUUGAGUUACCUCGGCUACAUCUUCCUUGAGGAUUAGUCUGUCUUUCCAUAGGUCCAAAAUACCCCAGAUUAAUAAAAAAAACAUUGAGUUGUGUGUUAAUAUUUUGUAGGGACAUUAUGGUGAAGUAUGCUGAAGCUAUUCGUGGGCUUGCAAAAGAUUUAUCAAGGAGACUAGCAGAGAGUUAUGGUUUGGCUGAUACUACCAACUUCUUCAAAUCUUGGCCAAGCGAGUUUCGUAUACACAAGUACCAUUUCAAAGCCGAGGCAGUUGGGAAACCUUCUGGUGUGAAUUUACACACAGAUUGGGGGUUCUUGACGAUACUCCAAGAUGAUGAAAACGUUGGUGGACUUGAAGCCAUGGACCCUUCUUCUGAAACGUUCUUUCCCUUACCCCCGUUAGCAAACUCGCUUGCUAUCAACCUAGGGGACAUGGCUACAAUAUGGAGCAAUGGAAGGUUAUGCAAUGUGAAGCAUAGAGUGCAAUGCAACGAAGCUAAAACAAGGUUUUCUAUCGCUUCCUUCUUGUUGGGACCAAUGGAUACAGAUUUGGAAGCUCCAAGCGAGUUUGUGGAUGCUGAACAUCCGCGACUAUACAAGGCUAUUAGUCACAAAAGGUAUCGAAGUCUUAGAAUGGCAACGAAUUUGCAUGAUGGAGAAGCUCUCAAGCUUAUAUCCUAUGAAUGAAUGAAUAUGAUGUAAUGACAUAAAAAGACAUUUGUACUUUUUGUUUGGUGUCCCUAAGAUAGAGAAGUAAAGAUGUAGGUAUGUGAAACUAUGGAUCUUCAAUACAUAAAUAUUUUUUUACAUUAACAUCUUUGUGGCUGUAUUGUGAACAAACACGAAUUAACCUUAAAGAAAGCAAAAAAAACUUUUAAAAAAGCUAAACGAAUUGAGGCAAAUACCCAUUACGGUAAACAACAAAUGUGGCCAGACACUUCAAAAUUAACAGGAUGCAACACUUCUCUUUGAGUUUAUUCAAACAUUCUCACUUGCUCUAGUUUCCACAGAAGUUAAAACUCAUGAGGUAUCUUGAACUAGCUUGAUUCCCAAGAUUCUAUCCUCACAAUGUCUUACAAAAGGGACCAUGUUUCCUGUGUUGGUUCCGGUCUUACCAUUGCAGCCAUAAACAGGAGGGACAUGGAAACACGGCUCCAUCGAAAUGGCACGACCACAAGGUGGAUCAGGAACUGUGUGGUUUACUGGUUCGUAGAGUAUCCAUGACUUUAACCCGCCCAUACCUUGAGCCACGUAUCCGAACGUAGACGAAGCGCUGAUCAUAACUUCAUCAGUCAUACUCAAGAGAAUCAUCUCAGCAAGGGUCUUUUUGUUGUGCAACUUCUUGUCACUCUGCUGAUACGCUUCUUGACUUGGCUGGUGAACUACAACUACAUCUCCUGUCGAAGUCGGAUGUUCCCAAUACAUACUCUUAAGACUCUCCGAGUAUCCAGAAGUCAGAGAAGUGACUAGGACAGCUUUGAGUUUAGAGGGUU